GAUGAAAUAUGUUGUUUUAAUUUCAUGUGUCUGUAUUAGCCUUUACACUAUGAGUUUAAACUGCAUUUGAAAUUUGAUCUCAGUUUGGGUUGAAGCAUUAGACACAUCAGUAAAAAUGUUGUGAACAGAGUUUAGGUUACAUUCCUGGACACCAGUGACGGUUUUAUGUUAUAUCUAAGCACUGUAAAGCUGAAUAACCCUUGGUAAAGGAAAAGGCAGUUGCCUAAGAAAUAACAUUUGCUUUCACCGCUGAAGUGAAACGUCUUUUCACGGGUUCUGUCACAGUUGAUAAAAACAAACAUUAUAGAAAACAAAACACCCAAAGAUGGAGCUGACUAAAACUAUAUGGGCUUGGUCAGUGUGUGAAAAUGAGUGUGUGAGUCUGGUCUUCAGAUCCUGGGUGAAUGAGUGUCUCUCUGUGUUGGGAUCCCAGAUGCUGAUCUUGAGCUCCCAGUCAGGAGAACAAGCAGUAAGGAGACGCUGCCACCAAACAUGUCUGAAGUCCAGGCUGUUUUUUCUGAACCAGUGACCAGAGAGGAGUUCUCACAGUACUCCUGUCACUUCACACUGGAUCC